AGCUGCAUAAUCUAAGCAGGGAGAUGGCCUCUUUUUGCCUUGAUGAUUCUUGUCUAUUUGACGUCAUAUCGAUCUCCAUGCUUCUAUUGGAUGAGCUUUGAAGUACUAGAUUCCCAGAAAAGUAGAAAAAGGGCUGUCAUGGAGUUGGAUUCUCUGAUGCAAGAAUGUAAUGUAUAGAUUGAUACUCCCAGGAUCUGAUGAAUAUAGGCCAAUAGAGAAGCUCAUGUCAUGUAUUGUCUGAAUUGAAAUGGGCUCUGUAAUUUAUAAAACGAUUGACACCAUGUUGGUAUUCUGAUCAUGUAUCUUUCAACUACUU
rnacentral:misc_RNA from 1 species